UACGUAGGGUGCAAGCGUUAAUCGGAAUUACUGAGCGUAAAGCGUGCGCAGGCGGUUGUGCAAGACAGAUGUGAAAUCCCCGGGCUCAACCUGGGAAUUGCAUUUGUGACUGCACGGCUAGAGUGUGUCAGAGGGGGGUAGAAUUCCACGUGUAGCAGUGAAAUGCGUAGAGAUGUGGAGGAAUACCGAUGGCGAAGGCAGCCCCCUGGGAUAACACUGACGCUCAUGCACGAAAGCGUGGGGAGCAAACAGG
rnacentral:rRNA from 1 species